rnacentral:rRNA from 1 species
CAANGUAUGCUUUGGAAACUGUUAGACUUGAGUGCAGAAGGGGAGAGUGGAAUUCCAUGUGUAGCGGUGAAAUGCGUAGAUAUAUGGAGGAACACCGGUGGCGAAAGCGGCUCUCUGGUCUGUCACUGACGCUGAGGCUCGAAAGCGUGGGUAGCGAACAGGAUUAGAUACCCUGGUAGUCCACGCCGUAAACGCUGAGUGCUAGGUGUUAGGUCCUUUCCGGGACUCAGUGCCGACGCUAACGCAUUAAGCACUCCGCCUGGGGAGUACGACCGCAAGGUUGAAACUCAAAGGAAUUGACGGGGGCCCGCACAAGCGGUGGAGCAUGUGGUUUAAUUCGAAGCAACGCGAAGAGCCUUACCAGGUCUUGACAUCCCGAUGCCCGCUCUAGAGAUAGAGUUUUUCUUCGGAACAUCGGAGACAGGUGGUGCAUGGUUGUCGUCAGCUCGUGUCGUGAGAUGUUGGGUUAAGUCCCGCAACGAGCGCAACCCUUAUUGUUAGUUGCCAUCAUUAAGUUGGGCACUCUAGCGAGACUGCCGGUAAUAAACCGGAGGAAGGUGGGGAUGACGUCAAAUCAUCAUGCCCCUUAUGACCUGGGCUACACACGUGCUACAAUGGUUGGUACAACGAGUCGCAAGCCGGUGACGGCAAGCUAAUCUCUGAAAGCCAAUCUCAGUUCGGAUUGUAGGCUGCAACUCGCCUACAUGAAGUCGGAAU